GUGACCAUAGUUCAGUUGGUUAGAGCGUCAGAUUGUGGUUCUGAAUGUCGUGGGUUCGAGUCCCAUUGGUCACC
rnacentral:tRNA from 1 species